rnacentral:lncRNA from 1 species
UUUAUGCUACCCCAUAUAUUUGAUUUUGAAUUUGAAACCCUACAAAUUUUAUUACAUAUAAAGCCCUAAAGGCAAUUUUAUAGGCAAAAGUAUUUUUAUAUAUUUUAUUUUGAGGGAAUUCUUGUCCUAAAAGUAGAAUCAUAUGAAGAUAUGAUUUUACGAAUUUUGUUGCAUUUUAUUUGACUGAAUUUGGAGCUUUGAAUCAAAAGUUAGUUCAAAACGAGAAAAAGAAAAAGGAAAAAGAAAAAGAAAAAAAAAGGGAAACCGAACCGACCUUACUGGACCGGCCCACUUACCGAACCGCACACGCAGCCCACUCCGUGCGCGCCCGAGCCGCUGCCAGGCGGGCCCCACCUGUCAGCAUCGUCUUCAACCGCCGUUGCUUUCUCCGCGCAGACGCUGCCCGCCUCGCCCACGACUCCACGCCGUGUCCGAGUCGCCCACGAACCCCAUUUUCCUCUCCGAGCAUGUCAGUUUAAAGCCCCUCGCCCCCGCAAUCUUUCCCCCCUCUCGCUCGACCACUUCCACGCCGCCAGGCUGCCCAAUUGUUCGUCGGAGCACCUUCGGA